AGUUUGAUCCUGGCUCAGGAUGAACGCUAGCGACAGGCCUAACACAUGCAAGUCGAGGGGCAGCAUAAAGGUAGCAAUACUUUGGUGGCGACCGGCGCACGGGUGAGUAACACGUAUGCAACCUACCUGUAAGAGGGGAAUAACCCGGAGAAAUUCGGACUAAUACCGCAUAAUACUGAUUAUCUGCAUGGAUUGAUCAGUUAAACAUUUAUGGCUUACAGAUGGGCAUGCGUAUGAUUAGAUAGUUGGUAGGGUAACGGCCUACCAAGUCAACGAUCAUUAGGGGUUCUGAGAGGAAGGUCCCCCACACUGGUACUGAGACACGGACCAGACUCCUACGGGAGGCAGCAGUGAGGAAUAUUGGUCAAUGGGCGAGAGCCUGAACCAGCCAAGUCGCGUGAAGGAAGAAGGUUCUAUGGAUUGUAAACUUCUUUUGUAAGGGAAUAAAAAGAGUUACGUGUAACUUAUUGUAUGUACUUUACGAAUAAGGAUCGGCUAACUCCGUGCCAGCAGCCGCGGUAAUACGGAGGAUCCAAGCGUUAUCCGGAUUUAUUGGGUUUAAAGGGUGCGUAGGCGGGCCCUUAAGUCAGUGGUGAAAGUUUGCAGCUUAACUGUAAAAUUGCCAUUGAAACUGAGGGUCUUGAGUGUAAAUAAGGUAGGCGGAAUGUGUUGUGUAGCGGUGAAAUGCUUAGAUAUAACACAGAACACCAAUUGCGAAGGCAGCUUACUGGGAUACAACUGACGCUGAGGCACGAAAGCGUGGGGAUCAAACAGGAUUAGAUACCCUGGUAGUCCAAUCC
rnacentral:rRNA from 1 species